rnacentral:rRNA from 1 species
AACGAACGCUGGCGGCAUGCCUAACACAUGCAAGUCGAACGAGACCUUCGGGUCUAGUGGCGCACGGGUGCGUAACGCGUGGGAACCUGCUCUUAGGUUCGGAAUAACUCCUCGAAAGGGGUGCUAAUACCGGAUAAUGUCUUCGGACCAAAGAUUUAUCGCCUUUGGAUGGGCCCGCGUUGGAUUAGCUAGUUGGUAGGGUAAAAGCCUACCAAGGCGACGAUCCAUAGCUGGUCUGAGAGGAUGAUCAGCCACACUGGGACUGAGACACGGCCCAGACUCCUACGGGAGGCAGCAGUGGGGAAUAUUGGACAAUGGGCGAAAGCCUGAUCCAGCAAUGCCGCGUGAGUUAUGAAGGCCUUAGGGUUGUAAAGCUCUUUUAACCGGGAUGAUAAUGACAGUACCGGAAGAAUAAGCUCCGGCUAACUCCGUG